UUCACCACGUUGCCCAGGCUGGUCUCAAGUGACCCACUGCCUCAGCUUCCCAAAGUGCAUAGUCAUUUUUAAAGUACAGUUUAGGGAUAAUGUAUUAUUUCUAUUAGAGUUAUAACUUUAAGCUGGGAGAUGUUCAGUAACUAAGUUUGUGAAGCUAUUAGAAUGUUUAAGUGCAUUUGGUUUGCUAUGAGCUUGAUUUAUUAAAAGGAUAAGAGUAAUUUAAGUGUUUGACAAGUCUGGCUGUCUGUUUUGCAAAUGUUUCCUGUCAGGUAUUUGAAAUGCUUAAAAAGAAAAAUGAAGACAUUAAAUUAUAAUCAAACGUUAAAAACAUAAAGGGAAUUUAACUUUAAUAAAAAGCCUAUCAACAAUGAUACAUCUACAAAGAGGCAGACAUUCCAAGUUGGGAAGAUGGGGAGGUUACUUACCCGUGCUGCUCCCGAACCAAUUAACUAGCAGAACUUGUUUUCAAACAAUAAGAUACAACCUGGUACAGAAUGUUCCAACGCGGUGGGGGAGGGAUCACGUUUGCCGAUGAGGACUGCAAUGUUGGGACUAAAACCGUGUGUGAAACCUGAACGGCCCCAAAAUCAUCUGUUCCCUUCUCAUCUCUCCCAGAAGUGUCCGUGACAGUCGCUGUCAUGGAAGUCACCUCCCCAGCACCACAAGGGAGAGCCAUCCUUCCUGCAGGGCGGCCACGUGGCCACCUAGGCUGGUCCCGGGAGACCUUGGACCCAGGCUGGUGCCUGCCCCAGCUCCUGUCCCGAGACGUGGCUGAAGGAAACCCGAGUGAAGGCUGAGUGCCCCAUGAGGGACCCGGGCUCUGACACAGACAGACUGUCCCGGCUGGAGUCCAGCUCCUGGACGACCUGGGUCUCCCCGUUCUGCACUGGUAUCGCGCGGUGAGGCGGCGCUGAUCAGAACCUCAAAAGACCUGACCCCGAACACCGUCAUCCCAAAUCCUGAGCUCCUGAAAGAUCAAAACCUAACAUGUUGGUGUUCUGACCAGUUUCUCUGUGAAUGGUUCAUCUGCACAUAACUCAUAUCCACGUGACUGAAUGAGCACACCUGUGUGUCUGUGCUGGAGAAAAUGUUAUGAUCACCGACUUUAUUGGGAUGUCAGCAUUCAGAACUGUGUCCCAGGAUCGUGGCCCAGACCCACAGGGCAGGGGCGUGCACUUUUGAGGGUUCUGAAGACGACUCAACAGGGUGCCUGACCUGCUGGUAAGGACUCAGGAGACCUCACCUGUCCUCGUCACACUCAUGGAAGGGGACUCCAGAUCCCUGGCGUAGCUGGUCUGGGAACUGGGGAGGGAUGGGCAGUGCCCGGUAUAGGGUGCAACCUCCAGUGCCCACAUUAGCACGUCUGUUGCUGUGAGAUUCUAUCCUGUGGACACCUGUGGCUGUAACACACACCUUCCCACUGCUGUCACAGGAGUGAUACUCUUUCCGAUUCUAACAUCAGUGUGUGCACAUUUUGGGAAAACCAGCAAGUACAGAAGAAGAAUUUAGGCCGGGCCCAGUGGCUCACGCCUGGAAUCCCAGCACUUCGGGAAGUCAAGGCAGGAGGAUCGCUGGAGGCCAGGAGUUUGAGAUCAGCCCGGGCAACAUAGUGAGACCUCAUCUCUAUUUAAGAAAGAAAAAGACCACUGGUCCUCCCAGUGUUUACAAGAUUUUUCCAUUAAAACAGGAGGGAUCAUAAUGAGCGGCCUAACAAAGACAUUUAAAGACACGCCAAGAAGGGGCGCAGACAGGAGUCCUGAGAUGCAGUCAUGGGAACCCGCACCUGUUUUCCCGCCCUGGGCACCCAGCGUGGACAGGCUGGCCGGUGCCAGGGUGAGCAGGGCAGGCUGAGGUCUCCAGUGGGUGGGGACAGGUUAGGGGGCAGCAAUUCAGUGACCCUGUCCAGGACUGGGUCCCUUGCAGAAGGUGAGGUCAGCCAGGGGUGGGGGUGGUGGCUGUGGAAUCCGUUGUCUGGUCUAUAGGGGGUCCCCCUACCGAAGCCCUAACCCUCUCCCCUUCACCACCCCAGUGAUCUCCUGGCCCAGGCUGCUGCCUCCAGCAGCUCCCCAGCCCCCAGGACAGUCCUUCAGGACUCUAGGGGGAGUCCCGUCUACAAGGACGGCUCACCAGUCUCCCGCCACAGCCAGUGAGGAUGGGGUCCUGCAGCCGAAGUGGUGUGUGCCCAGUGUGGUGUCCCUGGCAGGCUGGGAGGGUGCCCCCAGCUGCCAGUUAGUGAGGCUGGGUUAGCACGAGGGCAAGGAGCUUGGAUUCUGGGGCUGACAGCCUGAGCUCAACUCCAGCGCCCCAUCUUGCUGGGGCUCCUCCGCCUGGAGGCGGCUCCUCCACCUGCCUCUGCCUCCGUUUCUGCAGCAGUUGCCUGCCGGACUCCAGCCCGAGGCGGGGGCCACGGCUGACCCAGCUGGAGAACGCCCCACUGGCCCAGUCAGUGCUGUCCUCUGCACCUGAUGGCUUCUCUUGGCAGGGAGGGCUCCCCCGCCCCCGGGCUCUGUGCCAGCCAGAGGUUCCGCAGGAGCUGCUCACUUCCUCCCGCCGGCAGAGGCAGCCUGCGGGGCGGCUCCAACCUGGAGAAACCAAAAUCAGGGCAAGUCCCUGGCUGCUUCCCUGGAAAGCCCCGACGGAGUCCCCGCUCCUUCCCGCCGGUUCUCAGGGUGCUUUAUUUCAGAAGGGGAUUUCUUCCUCCUGAGAAUCUGAUGGCCACAGGGUGCCUGUCACAUGUCCACAUCGGGCCCUCCUGGCUGUCACCAACUUGUCCAACUGUCAGAGGUGUUUGAACCAGAGCGACUCCGUCUUGAAUAGGGGCUGGGUGGAAUGAGGCUGGGGCCUGCUGGACUGCGUUCCCGGGAGGGUAAGGCAUUCUUAGUCACAAGACAGGAGGUUGGCACAAGAUACAAGUCACGAAGACCUUGCCGAUAAAGCAGGUUGCAGUAAAGAAGUGGCCAAAUCCCACCAAAACCAAGAUGGUGACUAGAGUGACCUCUGGUCGUGCUCGCCACUCAUUAUACACAAAUUCUAAUGCAUUAGCUGCUAAGAGACACUCCCACCAGCGCCAUGUCCACAAAUGCCAUGGCAACGUCCGAAAGUUACCCUGCACGGUCUAAAAAGGAGAGGAAGCCUCAGUUCUGGGAAUUGACCACCCUUUCCCAGAAAAUUCAUGAAUAAUCCACUCCUUGUUUAACAUAUAAUCAAGAAAUGACCAAAAUAAGCAUAAGAAUAUUCAGCUGAGCAGCCCAGCCCUCCGCACUGCCUCUGGAGUAGCCAUUCUUUAUUCCUUUACUCUAUUAAUAAACUUCUCACUUGAC
rnacentral:lncRNA from 1 species